rnacentral:sRNA from 1 species
UGACAUAAGAGAAAUAGGUCGCAAAGAA